GACAGAGGCCUCAAGCGUUAGGCGGAAUCACUGGGCGUAAAGGGCGCGUAGACGGCUCAUGAAGGCUGUGGUGAAAGUCCGGGGCUCAACCUCGGAUCGGCCGUGGCGACUCGUGGGCUGGAGCACUGUAGAGGCGGGUGGAAUUCCGGGUGUAGCGGUGGAAUGCGUAGAGAUCCGGAAGAACACCAGUGGCGAAGGCGGCCCGCUGGGCAGUGGCUGACGCUGAGGCGCGACAGCGUGGGGAGCAAACAGG
rnacentral:rRNA from 1 species